UAAAAAGGGCAUUUUAUUUGGACGUAGGCUUUAGUCAUAUUAUAUUGCAUUUUCUUUUAUUGUAUAUAUCAUGGUAUACUGUAUGAUCUGAAUGAUAAUGGAUGCAGCGUUAGCUUGUACUUUUUGAUAUUUGAAUGUUAACAUAAAUUUGGAGACUUCAUACGUUUUUCAUCCUUCAUAAGUCUUAAAUUCUUUUAGUUUCUGUGAUUUGUUAUUGUGCACAAAUGGUUGAUGCAGACGAUAAUUGUAAUUUUGGUAGGUCGAGUGAAAGUUUUUUGAUGUUUUUAUUUUUUGAAAAGAUAUUUUUGGAUAUUUAGAAUGCACCCUUUGCACUCUUAACAACGGAAGAGUAGUGGUAACUAUAAAUAAAUUGCUAAUUUUGCAGACAUACAUUUAGUCUAGUUGUGAACUAUUGGAAAUAUAGUGAAGAUGAAUUUAGCCGAUUAUUAUAUUCGGUUGUGUGUGUGGUUAACUUUUUUGGGGUUUUUCUGUUCUAUAUCCGAUGACCUUGGUAGUAGAGUUAUCUAUGUUUUAGCUGUUUCAUAUUU
rnacentral:lncRNA from 1 species